rnacentral:rRNA from 1 species
GACGAACGCUGGCGGCGUGCCUAAUACAUGCAAGUCGAGCGAAGUUUUUCUGGUGCUUGCACUAGAAAAACUUAGCGGCGACCGGGUGAGUAACACGUAAAGAACCUGCCUCAUAGACUGGGACAACUAUUGGAAACGAUAGCUAAUACCGGAUAACAGUAUUUCUCGCAUGAGAGAUAUUUAAAAGUUGGUUAUGCUAACACUUUGAGAUGGCUUUGCGGUGCAUUAGCUAGUUGGUGGGGUAAAGGCCCACCAAGGCGACGAUGCAUAGCCGACCUGAGAGGGUGAUCGGCCACACUGGGACUGAGACACGGCCCAGACUCCUACGGGAGGCAGCAGUAGGGAAUCUUCCGCAAUGGGCGAAAGCCUGACGGAGCAACGCCGCGUGAGUGAAGAAGGAUUUCGGUUCGUAAAGCUCUGUUGUUAGGGAAGAAUGGAUAUGUAGUAACUAUACAUGUAAGAGACGGUACCUAACCAGAAAGCCACGGCUAACUACGUG